rnacentral:rRNA from 1 species
AACGAACGCUGGCGGCAGGCUUAACACAUGCAAGUCGAACGCGCCCUUCGGGGCGAGUGGCAGACGGGUGAGUAACGCGUGGGAACCUACCUUUUGGUACGGAAUAACUCAGGGAAACUUGAGCUAAUACCGUAUGUGCCCUUCGGGGGAAAGAUUUAUCGCCAAAGGAUGGGCCCGCGUCGGAUUAGCUAGUUGGUGGGGUAAUGGCCUACCAAGGCGACGAUCCGUAGCUGGUCUGAGAGGAUGAUCAGCCACACUGGGACUGAGACACGGACCAGACUCCUACGGGAGGCAGCAGUGGGGAAUAUUGGACAAUGGGGGCAACCCUGAUCCAGCCAUGCCGCGUGAGUGAUGAAGGCCUUAGGGUUGUAAAGCUCUUUCGCCGGUGAAGAUAAUGACGGUAACCGGAGAAGAAGCCCCGGCUAACUUCGUGCCAGCCGCCGCCGUAA